rnacentral:rRNA from 1 species
AUGCUCUCCUCCUCCCUCAUGCUGACCUGCGGCCACGCUCCCCUCCCCGCAUUCCGCAAACCACGGCGCCGAAUCCCCGCCGUCCCCCAAACCAACGCCUCUCUCUCCACCUUCCUGCCCGGGCGGGGAGGAGGAGCAGCAGCGCCGCGCCGGGGCUGGGCCCAAAUCUGCCGGGAUUCCUCCCGGCCGGGCGCCGAUGCCGCGGAGCAGGACAGAGAGAUCAAGAACGACCUAGCAACGGCGACCGUCCCCAAGAUUGGCGGUGGUGGCGGCGGCGGCGGCGGCGGCGGGCAGCUCAGCGACUGGAUAACAUCGGUGCUGCUGUUCGGGAUAUGGGCGGGGCUCAUGUACUAUGUCCUCCAGCUCGCGCCAAACCAGACGCCAUACAGGGACACAUAUUUCUUGCAGAAGCUUUUAAAUCUUAAAGUCGACGAUGGCUUUCGAAUGAACAAUGUUCUUGUGUCUCUGUGGUACAUAAUGGGAAUCUGGCCACUGGUGUACAGCAUGUUGCUUCUUCCUACUGGAAGAAGUUCAAAAAGCAAGAUUCCAGUCUGGCCAUUCCUGGUGCUUUCAUGCAUUGGAGGAGCAUAUGCGUUGAUUCCUUACUUUGUUCUGUGGAAACCUCCUCCACCUGCCAUUGAUGAAGAUGAAAUUGGACAAUGGCCAUUAAAAUUUCUCGAAUCUAAAUUAACUGCAGGAGUAAUUUUUGCUGUGGGCCUUGGACUGAUUAUAUUUGCAGGCAAAGCUGGCGGUGAUGAUUGGCGGGAGUUUUUCCAAUACUUUAGAGAGAGCAAGUUUAUCCAUGUCACGUGUAUUGAUUUUACUUUGCUCUCGACCUUCUCGCCGUUUUGGGUCUACAAUGAUAUGACAUCAAGACGAUGGAAAAACAGCUGGGUUCUGCCACUGGCAGUUGUGCCUUUGCUUGGACCCUCCUUGUAUCUUUUGCUGCGUCCAUCUCUGUCCUCUCUGCUAGGGGCAACCUCUUCAUCAUCUGACAAUGAGAAGCCUCUGAAAUAA